GCUACCGAGUGUCACACAAGGUGGGAAUCAAGAACCAUCAUUAUGAAAUCAUCUCUGCCCUUAAGUGACAUCUUCAACCAUUUUCCUAAAGCAAACGGCUGCAAAAGCUUCCAUUCACUUCGCCUCUAUGACCUCUAUUGAUGGGAAAAGGACAGAUCAACUCAGUGCCCAUCCUAUUGUUAGAGGGCCCGAGAUUCAUGUUUAUCCAUGCAAGACAGCCGGUUAGGACAGCUCAGAGAGAGAGACACAGCGAGAGAGGGAACACAAGCAGGGGGAGUGGGAGAGGGAGAAGCGGCCUUCCCGCCCAGCAGGGAGCCCGAUGCGGGGCGCGAUCACGACCUGAGCCAAAGGCAGAUGCUUAACGACUGAGCCACCCAGGCACCCAGAUGUCCAUAUUCUAAAGAUGUCUACAUCCUAAUUCCUGGCACCUGUGAAUACGCUAUCUCAUUUGGCAAAAGGGACUUUGCAGAUGGGAUGAAGAGGGCGGCCCACGAGCAAGGGGGUGGACUUUGCAGCGUCUGUCUCGUCUGCGUUAGACACUUGGAAGACGUUUCUCCCAAUUAUAGUGGUUAAACACUGACUCAACAGCCAACAGCCUCAUGAGGUGUCAGAGCCUUCAUUCAUGGACAAGUUUCACAAUGAGACACGACAGCACCACCUGUCAUGGGCAGUGCCGUCAGAGAGCGGAGGAGAGUGGGUUUCACAGGCAACAAGGUGGCUGCUUUCUGGAAGGAUCUGACAGUUCCUAGCAUGGCAGCGACAUGGUGAAGUGCCUCCUCACUACCCCUGCUCAAUGGGUUUGUUUGCACGUGGAAUUCUUAGGCUCUUAGUUCUGUCCCUGCUUCCUGCCACUUCCCUAGGAGACGGAAUUCAAAUUCUGGAAGGGAGGGACCUCACCUCUGGGGAGGGGGAGGGGGACACAGAAUGGGGGCUGGAGCCUCUUGGGUCUUACCAUGUGGACAUCCUGUGGGAACAUUCUCCCCUCCUCCUCAGCAAGAUCCACUCCGCUCUGUGGAGAAUCCAAGCAGGAGGUCAGAGGGAUCUACAAAGCCACGGUGGAAGGACAGCCCAGAUUCCCGGGCCCCGGGUGGCCAUCCAGUCUGACCACGCACCACACUCUCCUUUGAUUCUUGGUGUCUAUCCUCCCUGCAAGUUCAUGGGCUCCCCCAGGGCAGGAGGCAUGUCUGUCCUAGUCACCAUCCGAGCCGGCUCAGUACCUGUCAGAGUGCC